CUUCAGGUUGUGUGUGUGGUGGCCUGGCAUUCAAUCUGUGAGGUGGAUGCGUGUUGGAAGGACCCCUUUUGGUUUCUUUUUGCUCAGAGCUUUCUUUUAAUAAAUUCCGCUCUCCUCACCUUUCAAUGUGUCCGUAUGCCUAAUUUUUCCUGGUCCUGUGACAAGAACCUGAUUUUAGCUGAACUAAGGAGCGAAAGAUCCUGGAUCAUUUUGGUGACCCAUACUGGUACAUGAGGAAAGACGCCACAAUCAAGAACUCAGAAGGGUAGAAGAAAAAGAUAGUUUCCCUUCCCUACACAGGUGUUGAUCCCUUCAUAAAUAUUAUGCAUGCUAAGCCCUAUCUCAAGGUCUACAUCCAGGAGAACCCAACCUGCAACAUUAAGCAUUGAGACCUGCUUGAUUUCUUCCAUUAAUACACAAUGACGCAACUAUGAUCCCAAAGUGUGCAAAGUUAAAGUCUUCAACUGCAGCUGAGGAGAGGGUAGGAAUGGUACACCUGGGGACAGUGGUGAGUCAGGAACGACGGGCAGGCAGCCAUGACCA
rnacentral:lncRNA from 10 species